UACGUAGGGUCCGAGCGUUGUCCGGAAUUAUUGGGCGUAAAGGGCUCGUAGGCGGUUUGUCGCGUCGGGAGUGAAAACUCAGGGCUCAACCCUGAGCGUGCUUCCGAUACGGGCAGACUAGAGGUAUGGCAGGGGAGAACGGAAUUCCUGGUGUAGCGGUGGAAUGCGCAGAUAUCAGGAGGAACACCGGUGGCGAAGGCGGUUCUCUGGGCAUUACCUGACGCUGGAGGAGCGAAAGCAUGGGGAGCGAACAGG
rnacentral:rRNA from 1 species